UGCAAUUGGGUUUAAUUUUUUCUGUUUACAUUACUCAAUAUUUUGGGCUUUCUGGUUUACCUUGAUUUCCCUACUGAAAUUUACAGAAAAUGUUUGAGUCAUUACUAACUUUUCUAAUUUUGAAAUCAUGUUGCGAGCACUUGAGAGAAUGUACCUUUAGCCAAACAAAGGGCCAUUCCAAACUGCCCCUUAUCAGUUCAGGCUGGUUUUGUGGGCACCCAUCCCCCCCUGCUCAUUGAUCUCAGGUUACAUACAUGGACUGUCCCCAGGGACUGCCCCUUUGACACCUUGGGUGUUGAUGGCAUUGGCCUCAGUUGCUUUCCCUCCAAUUAAAACGGCAUUGCCCUCAUCUUAAAAAGCCCUCUCUGUCCCACCUCAAACAUUGAUAGACCCUGUUGUUUAUAGUUAAAAGCAGCUCUUCUUCUUUUGUCUGCAGAGGGCCUUUGUGAUCAAGUUUGGUUAAAUUCUGCAAUCUCUACUGUUUAAAUGAGGUAGCUGAUAUAGCAAACAGCUGAACUGCUACAAUACUACAAAGUGAGAGGAAAGACGAAGACACUGACGGACAACUAAUUUCUAAGGACUGCACAGGGCUAGCACAAGGAGGUCACAUUUUCAAAGAUGAAGAUACUGAUCCUCUUCUCGAUUGGUGCAUUGCUAGCAGUCACAGCAGUGCUGAAGGUGCUGGCCAAUUCUAUUGGUGGACUGAUGUAUGUGCAAGGAGCGGAUGAGGAUGUGCCAGAGCUGCCCAAAAUGAAGAAAAACUGACUGGUUGCAUAAAUUUCAGAAAUGCUUGAAAAUCCAUAUGACUGUGUCAGUGUAUGUAUAUGUCCCAUGUAUAAGUGACUAAUCAUGGAAGGUGUUGGAAUUGGAUUAUUUUAUUAUCAGUACACACAAUUUGACACUGUGUGGAGAGUGUUGAUCAUAUCUGAUAAUACCUAAUACAUAUCCCUAUUGUAUGUUGUAUGACAUGGUUUGGCUAAAAAUGUAAUGUUGUGGCUAAAUAGACAAUUAUAUAUAAAUCUUACAAUUAAUGAAACAUACAUUGUAUAGGCCUGCUACUUUCACCUGACCUGAUGUACUUUCAAGAAAUGUUUUCUCAAUGUGUGCCAAAUGUUGAAAUAA